GGCUUAUUCAUUCACAUGCUGUGAUUCGCUGACCUUGUCACGUGGGUUGCUCGAGUCUUCCCGCACUAUCGGGACAGUUUCGGAGCAACACGCCGUGAGCAGGUUGGGAGAGCCCGAGAAAAAAACGAAUGUAAAACUAGACGUGAUAAAGUCCAGAUUGAGAACCACUGGUGUCGGCUUUAGGAAGGUGUUUGGGGAUCAGGAGCAGACAGAUGAACUCGAGACUGCGGUUAACCAGAUUGGCAGCAGUAGAUGGGCACGUUUCCUGACUCCUGAUGUCUACAGGUCCUCAGUAGUGUCCAGUUGUCCAAUUUCAGGCCUAUGCACUUUUCUAGUGCACUUCAUGUUUUGAGUGAACAGAUGCAUCUCCAUACCACACCAGCCUGCUUACCUGCAACCCCAGGGCUUUAACAUGUCACCCUGGAUCCUUGGUUCUUUCCAGCAGCGAUCCCUGUAAAAGUGACAUCCGGCUGUUAUCUGUCCAAACCUGGAGUUCGGAGGAGAAUUUAAGACAAGAAGGCGAUGGGCCAGAGGACAUGAAUUUCAGACACGAGAAGGACUGCGGCAUUGUGUCAGUUGAGCAGGGAAUGGCUGAGCAUCAUGGGCAAGUGUACCAGCUAACCCACAGGGUAGUCGGGGAGCAUUUUUGUAUAAGAAUGUCUAGUCGGGUGGAUGUAUUUAAAUUGUAUAUUUUGAGUUCUCUCUGUUAUAAUUAUUAAUUCAUUUUAAGAUCCUCCUUUUGUUUUUCACUAUCACAUCCAAUAUCAUUGUUUGGGUUUA